rnacentral:rRNA from 1 species
GACGAACGCUGGCGGCGUGCUUAACACAUGCAAGUCGAACGAGAUCCAAUGUGUAGCAAUACACAGGAAGAUCUAGUGACGAACGGGUGAGGAACACGUGAGAAACGUACCCCAGACUUUGGGAUAACAGUCCGAAAGGACUGCUAAUACCAAAUAACGUCGGAAGUCCGCAUGGACAUCUGACGAAAGGGAUUCCGGUUUGGGAGCGUCUCGCGGACCUAUCAGCUAGUUGGAGGGGUAACGGCCCACCAAGGCAACGACGGGUAGCUGGUCUGAGAGGAUGGUCAGCCACACUGGGACUGAGACACGGCCCAGACUCCUACGGGAGGCAGCAGUGGGGAAUCUUGCGCAAUAGGCGAAAGCCUGACGCAGCAACGCCGCGUGCGGGAAGAAGGCUUUCGGGCUGUAAACCGCUUUCAGUAGGAACGAAACUGACGGUACCUACAGAAGAAGGAGCGGCCAACUAUGUG